rnacentral:tRNA from 1 species
GCGAAUAUAGCUUAAUUGGUAGAGCUGAAUCUUUCCAAGUUUCUGGUUGUAAGUUCAAGUCUUACUGUUCGCA